ACGUGACUCAUGCCAGCGGGCUGCGGGACGGUGACAUCAGCCCCUCGGCGGGGCCCAGCCCGCCGGGGGUUGUUUGGAGCUUUGUGCCGGGUACGAGGGCCAGGACCACUCGGCAGGGAGGGUUGAUGGAAAGCAAGCUGCAGGAAGAGCAGCCGCAGCAGGGCUGGUUUUCACACCUGCUAGCAGGCAGCCCCUCUCCUGGCCUCCCCAGGGCUGAAGCAUGCAAAAGACUUGCUUGCUGCCCGAGGCAGGCGGCCCAUGGUGCCGGCACACGCUGCUGACACCUCGUCCUUCCGUGGGGCUGGCACGACACCUGAGGCCAGGACAGAGAGGGUGCGGCUGGAUUUCAAGACUACAAUAAGAGCUCUUUAUGGGCAUGAAAUUACCGUCCUGCAAUACUGGCAAACCAUUCCCUUUUCCAGGAAAGCUGCUUUGUAGUGCCGCCAGAAAACUAGCCCUUCAGCAUCGCAAGCUACGCCGGCAGCAGUGCAUCGUGUAGCUCUGACCAGAGGCUACUACAGGACUCCUCCCACAGCCAGGGAGAGACCGUCACAUAAAGGAAAGCUGAAGCUCUGGGCACGCUGAUGGACUAAGCAAAGAAGAACCAGCUCUGCUUUGGAGCUCCUCACCAUGACGGUCAAUGUGUGAGCCCUCCUGUAACUCAACACGGUCAUCACAGUCAUUCUUUCUAGAUGUGACCAUCAAGUGUGAAAAUCACCCUGUUAGCACAAUACGCCUGAAUCUGUUUGGGGGACUUAAAUGAGAUUGAAGGCUGAGUGAGGAGCUGUUUUAUGGAUCUGCCCUUUCUGGGGAGAAGCUCAGGCUGUGGCACCAAAAUGUGCAAGGCACUGUCCAUGACAUAGAGGGUAUUGUUUUUUCCAUGUUGCACAGCUAAGUCACCUGAGAUACACAGUUUUAUUUCAGUGCCUUGACAAAGUAGCUGGAUUGUCAUCAAGCAGAGGCUAAUGACUCACGAUUACACUAUAGUCUGAAAGAAAAGUUGUUUUGUACUCAAAUGUGCGAAACACAGGGGAUUUGUUAACUGCUAGCCAAAUUCUCAGCUGGGCAUCGCUGAAAUCUAUGCAACCACAUGGAUUUACACCAAUGUUGUCCCACUACUGUCUCCUCAGAGCAUUUCUCUACUGACAAAGGCUCACAAAGAACUUCCCAUGCUAAUUUUUUUAAUUCCUCAACCAGCCUCCCAACCUGCAUGGAGCAAAUUCUGGCCUCCAGCACCACCCUCAAAGCCCUGGUGCUUACUCCAUGUCCUCACGUGCUCAGUGCUGGCACGGUCGUGCCCUAAGAGGCUUCAAGCUACCUGCCUCCAGCCUUGCAUUUCACUGGUGUCCACAACCUCCAAGGCCACCACACCAUGGUCCAAACCCUAAACCCUGUCCAGCCACCCAUUGCUCAUCUGUUAAGUCCCCUCCAUAUAAAUCCUGCUACAGGUGUGCUUCUACUGCUGUAAGGGAGCUUGCUGAUUUGGGGGUAAGUUUUCCAUAAAUUGCUUAUUGAUGUUUUCUUCCCCAAUUUCUGUCCUUGGAUUAUGGACUCUGUGGAGUGAAGGGAAAGCACUGAAGUGUCCAAAAAUCACCAGCCGCAUAGUGGGUGUUACAGCAAACGUUCACAAUAAUAGCAGCAACAAUAAUUGUAUCAAUAAUUACAUUGUUUGCUGCUGUUGUUAUUCCUUCUCCCGUUCCUACAACACUUGACGUAUAUGGGCUCCAGGCAGCUUCUGAGCCUCAAGAAACAUUUUCAGGUGAUGCAGAACACAAAGAACAGAGAAAACAGCUUUAUACUAUUACCUAUACAUAUGUAGCUAAUAUGAUUAUAUAUUAUUGCAUAGUGAUUUAAAUGACUUUGCUGAACAUUCUGAUUUGUUGCUUUUCAGCUUACAGAAUGACAGCGUGUAGUAAAAUAUCAUAAAUUUGUUUAUACACACCAGCAGAUUUUUUAUUAUUAUUUUGCUUAAGAAAGAAAAUAUGUAAAAAAUAUUUGCAGAUGAGAAGGGCCAUCUUCCCUGGAAGGACGUAACACGAUCAUCGCUGAGUCUAAAGGAGAAUUUCAUUCUCCUCUAAAUCAUUUGCUUUUGGUACAUUUUUUUCAUAUUUAGUAGCUGGAUGUAAUUCCCUCUAUAUGUACUAACUCUGUGUUAUUGCAAUUCCAGCAUGAUUUAUGUUUAUUUGGGGUCUAACAAGAUAAUGAAUCAGGAAAUGGCAUUGCACUUUAUAUUAUGUAUUUAUUUAUUAUGUUAGGAUGAAAUUUACCUGGGUCCAGAGAACAAAAUUAGGCUGUUACAGCCCUUGGUUUCAUAAAAGUUAUUUUCCUCUCAAUGCCUAUGCCCCGUGGACAGAAAUUUAUUUUAUCUGCACUGAAUGAGAAUUCUCCUAUUCUCUCUCUGCUAAGGUAGCCUCCAGAUAUGAUUUCUAUACCUUUUCUCAUGCUUCCAAUUUUGUAUACAUUACUUGAAUGCUUGAAAAUAUGAAAUAUACUACCAACAAACAGAGUGAUAAAAUCUCCAGUUUGUAGGGAAUCUUUUUUGUUCCUAUUCAAUCCUUUUGUAAUUACAAAGACCUACUCAUUAAUUUGAUGUCUUUGGUGACAUUAUCAUACUUCUGAUCAUAACCUUUCUGUUGAAUUCUAGGGGCUGGCUGACCGUUAGAAAGAAGGACUGUUCUGCAGACAGUUUAUGGGGUUCAGAUUUGGAAGAUCUCAGUUCUUCUCUGAAGUGUGACACUGCAAAGCAAUGAAAGACGACCUUAAUUGGAAGGUGUAUGAAUACAUGUAAGUAUAGGGGAAGUGAAGUGGAAAAUUACACUACAGCAUAUAAGAGAACUGAAUGUAUUUAAUAAUACAACAGUAGCUAUCUGUAAUAAUACUAAAAAUAUCACAGAAAAACAUUAUGGGAACAUUGUUAAGAGUCCAAACGUGUUCUGAUUGAUGUAUUUAAUAACUUUGCAAGAACUUAAGUCUCAAAGACUUGUAAUUUCUGUAAGAUUAGAUAGUAUUCUUACACAAAAUGCAGGAGAGAAAUCAAAUGAAAAAAUGGCAACUUUAUCUCCUAUAGAAGAGUUAUAAAAUCAUUAAGCAAGUAAAAGUUUAUUCAGUUAAUUGGCUAAGGCCCAGCAAGAAUUUCACAACACUAUCAGCAGGGUGUUGAAAUACCGAAAAACCACCACACAACCAAAUGCUCAGUUUCAGAGAAGCACUCUUAUUUAAGAAACACUUUCUUGAGUAUUUCUUAGAUAAGGAAUUGUUUAUCAGUAUGUGUGUAUCUCCUUCCUGGAAUCAAGGUCUCUGCAAGUUUUUUCAUGUAUCCUAACAUUCUCUCAGUGUUUUCUGAUUUCCCCUUGCUCAAGCCCCAGGAACGUAGGAAAAGUGGAAACAACAUAUACUUAUGAAGAAAUGUGAUAUAUAUAAUUAUUAUUUAUAUUUAUUUAGCGAUUUGAGCUAAGAUCGUGAGCAUCAGAGUGUGAUGAGAUAACCAGAAGUGACUUCUGACACUUUUUCUUUUGCACAGAGAACAUGGAUGGAUAUUAACAAGUCAAAGCAGCAGCACAAAGAAAGGUAGCUCAUGCAGCUGCCUGUGCAAUAGAAAUUUGGAAAGCUGUGAAAUCAAGGUAUAACCUGUGUGAAGGCAAAGUAAGAAGGGCCAUGGACAUCUAGAAAAAAAACACUGUAAUUGUGUUGACCGUGAAGCCUCCUCUGAAACAGAAGGUUUCUGAAUUUCUGCACCAGGAUACAUUUUUUUCUUAGAAAUAAUCUGGCCAUCUAGGAAAUAUUUCACUCUACCUUCCAGCACACACUGCAGUUCAAAAACAGUGUAAAUGUAAAUAUUGCUGAUGCCAAGCACAUGAUUUGCCAAUGCAAAAUGAUGCAUUUUGUACCAGGAUUCCAUUAUAACCAAGAUUAAUUUUAGUAUUAUGGAAAGAGAACAAGGCUCUGUCUGGCAAUUCGUUAACAACAACAAACUCCUGAUGACAAAUGAUAUGUAACUCACAGGCUUUGUUCAGGGAAACUCCUGUAAACAGCUGACUUACAAAUGUUCAUACAAAACAAACUAUACUGCAACCUGAUUUUAAUCUAACUGCCAGAUACUUGUGAGGUAAUGCUGUGGGAGAUGGCACAAAGAUUUUGAAGAAGGAGAUAGCUGGUGGAAAACUCUAACAUUUUAUGGAAAAUUCUAAUUUUUCAACAACAACAAAAAGCAAUCAAUGAAUAUAUCCCAGAUUAUUUUAGGAGUAGGGAAACAUCUCACCAUCAUCAUGUAAAGGCAACCAUUAUCCAGUAAGAACUCAGGCCAAGUCUCAAGUGGCACAUCACAGCAUGAAUCAUUCUUUAAGGUAGCUUGGCUCGACUAUACAGAUUGACUGAUCAUAAAGCAUACCUCUGAUCUAUCCAGAUCUUCUCUCUUACUUAAUAGGAGAAAACAACCCCUGUAAAAAAGGCUAACACUUUAUAUGUCUGCAUUAGUUUACAUGGAUUCAUCAAUACUCAAGACCAUCUCCCGUAAAUUCUAAAAUUAGUUUUGAGAACAAGAACAGGCAUAACCAAAACACAAAGCCAAGAAGAUAUAAAAGAAUAGAGUGAAAGUAGGGAGAGCUGACAAACACUAAAAGAAAAAAUGAGAAAAUAUUUAUGACUAUGUUGGAUGAUCAUCAGACAGAUCUUCCCUUGCAUCCAAUUUCAGUUAUUUUUGAGAAUCACUGUGGAAAUUUGCUCAUGGCUGUCAUACUCAAAAAAAGACAUGCUAUGUGCGGGAUUCAGCCCCGUAAAACAAACAUGAAGAAGUAUCAUGUACCAUUUAAGUCUUGUUGAAUCCUACCAUGACAAAACCUUUUGAUGAGAAGUAAAUUUCACUGACUGAUUAAUGAGGCGGGCUCUCUUUCCAGCAAGUGAAUGAUACUUUUCUGAGUCAAAUGUAGCUUAUUAGGCUGAAGUCAUUAAGCAUGACCAAGCCAUCCAAUCACACGACAUGAACACAAACUCAUCACCACUAAGUGAUGUCAAAAAAAAUAACCACAUCAAGAAAACCAAAAGCCUAAAAUUUGGAACAGUACAGAGACUGAAUAACUUCACUUUCUACAGAAACAAUUUAUCAAAAGAAAAAAAAAUACUAAAUUCAAAAAGAAAUUCUUUUGCUGAAAAUUACAUACUCAGUCAUACGAUUACAUGGCUUUUGUUCCCCUAGUCCUCUUCUUCCUCCUGGGUUUCUAUCUAGGAAAUAUUCUCAGAACCUGCUGGUUCAGAUACCUCUUUCAGACUGUUGGCAUUCAAAGGUUCCAGCAACGAAGCCUUAUUAUUAUAAAUACUCCAGCUAUAAAAUUUCUAAGGAAAUCAGACCAACUAUCAUCUUCUCCUUCUGACUUUCAUUUAGGAAUUUUAAAUCCUCUAGCGUGGGAGAAUACUCUAAAGCUAAGCUUGCUAUUUCAUUAAAAGCAAAAGAGGAAAAUUAGGAUGAAAAUUCCAAAGCCUGGGAAGGUAAGUAAGGAAACAGCAAACUAGAAACUAGAGAGGAUGAAAACCAACACUACAUUGAUGACUCUGGCAAAUCCCAUUGUUUGUUCAAGGCAAAGUACAUUACAAAUUUUGUUUUGGUACGACAUGAUGAUAAGCAGUACAUUUGGGUUGCACAGAAUUAUUUUUUUGUUUGUUUGCUUUCUUGCUUUGUUUUUAACCUUUCUUGUUCAUCCUGGUACUUGAAUAACAGGAAAAACCUAGUCCUGAGCUUACAGUCAUGCAAAUCCUCCUCACUCAAGCAUGAAGUUACAGUGGCUUCCAGAAGUUUAUUUUUUUGUGCAGACAUCACCCUUGAACGUUACCUUCUUGAUCUGGCCUUCAAACUUGUCACAUGAUAUCUAGUGUUUACAAAUUGGUUGCUAUCUAGAAAUGAGCAGCUUUGACGUGACUGAGGUAUUCUCACAGGAAAUACAUGCAGUGAAUCAGCGGUAGCAUGUGUAAGAGAUGCUCUGUCUCUCUUUUGCUCAGCAUUGCUGCAUAGAAUGACAUACUAUCAAAGAUAAUACACAGCCUCUGGAACAAGCAAAACACAACACUGACUAAUAUAGAACAUUAAAGUCAAAAGCAAUUUUCUCUGCUCGCCCCCACCUCCACAGCAUUGCAACUCACACUAGAGAAAGGGCUGGAUGAAGUCUUGCUAAGUCCAGCAUGAAGCCCAGUAGCAAAUAAAGUAAUGUGAGAGUUGCCUGAAGUUUGAACUAAGCCCUCUGCAUAGUUAUGAGAACUUGCCGUUAAAAGAAUAAAUGUUAACAAUAAGAAGUCCAAGAGAAUAAACCUGUGAGAGCCAACCUUAAAGAUCUGCAAGGGGUCUCAUAAAUACAUAGUAAGCAUCCACACUGAUGGAUUCCCUAGAGGAAAAAAACCUAUAUUACCUACAAAGCACAUAGUUUACAAACCUUCUUUUCGUAACAUAUAACUUGUAAAAUUCAAAGUUUAGAGCUAAGGAAAACAACCAAGGUAAGAGCUAAUCAGCAAAGUGGUAUCUUCCUUCACUUAAUUUUGUUUUACUUGUAUAAUUUGUUGAUGAGCCAUCAAACAAGACUCUUACCUGUCAGCACUGGGGGUUAGAUAUGGAUUUGGGUGAAUAAAGAUAAAUUGACGAGUAUGGGCUUGAAUCACGUCAACAUAACAGGUAACUGCUGUGGGUUUUGUCACCCAGUGUGUUGGUAAGGGAUUAGGGUGUUGGCUCUCUUUUUGUACUCUGGUGCCCUAAGCUUUUAAGAAUGCACUAGUAGGUCCUGGCAACUUGAGUUGGCUCAAGUCCCUUGUACAUGAGCCCUGUGUGACCAACAGUAGCUUCUCAUGAAGAACACAGCAGAAACUCAACUGCACUCUGCCAGAAAGCCUUCUGGAAGCAGGGUUUGUUGGCACAUCCCUACCUUAAAGCAACCAGCCAGCGGGGGUGACAGCAGGGGUGCAUCUUAAGAGUUAUUCAGCUCCAGGCAGAAAUGGAGUAGGUCUCUUCUAAUGUAGGCUCUGAAAACUAAAUUACAGAAAAUAUGACUGGUAAAUACAAAAAGGUAAGACAGGAAAAAAAUGUACCAAAGUAUAUUCACAGACAGAAUAGGAAUUUCACUUGGUAACCAACAGCAUUCUUAUAUAUAAGACUGUUUCUCCUCCCAGCAUUCAGCCCUGGUAGAUGAAAUGGCUGGGUGAUCCAGGCUGCAGCAGUCCAUCAUCUUCCCAGUGGGUCAGAUACCAGCUGAGGGACUCCCAGAAGCAGCAAAUAGCCCUGGCAACAAGGACCUGCAAAUCUAGGUGCCUGACCACUGAGGUACUCAAUGAAGUCUUUAGGUGCUGGAAUUCUUAAAGCCCUCUGUAAGAACUCCUUGUCCUCUCCUAGACCACAGCAGAAAGGAUGUGAGCAAAACACAGCUAGCCUGGUCAUGGACUACCUGUUGGGGUGACUGUGUUAAAGCCCUAUUUUCUGGAACUAAAAUGAGAUAAUAUUUGAGAAAAAGAAAAGAAUCUAAGUAGCUAAGAGAAAAAAAAUCUGGCAUAAAACACAUAGACCAGCUAAAGAAAAAGAAGUGACAACAAACAAGCUCUGCAGUCAAGGAAAGGGUAAAAUCUUGGCCCUACCAAAGUCAGUGGGAUGUUUGCCAGAAAGCUGUAGACAGCUUGUUUUAUCCAGGAUUUUUAAUUAGUGAUUAAAUGAUUCAAUGGCAAGUUGGCUGUUUUAAGAAGGAAAAAAUCAUAAAAUAGCUGCAGCAUGCCUCUCCCUGCCCCGCCUACCCCUUGGGAGGUACAGAUCAUACACAGCUUUUUUAUGGGAGACUUGACAGGUAUUUCAUUGAACCUUAGUUGAAAUCUGUAGUUUCCCAGGCCCUGCCUCCUUCCCCAGUCUGGGGAUGAAGAUAGGAAACACCUGCUAAUGACACCAGAGACAGAGCAAACAGCAAAAGUCAUGUGUCAGCAGAAAUCCCACUGGAAGCCUGGCCUCUCUAAUCCAGAUUCAGUCCACCUAAUGGUGGUUAGUAUAUAUGGAGCAAUAGGAUGGUGUGUUCAUUUAACUGGCAUAAAUUUGAACUGCUGUCAAUAUCCUGAAGUGACAUACCCACGAAUAAGGUGUCUCCCUGCUGACAAGGACUGCACCAGUAAAUGUGCUGGACAGGGAUCUCCAGGCUGAUGCCACUUCUGACUUUCCACUGGCUCACCAAGGGUUAGAUGACUGACUUACAUGAAACUCCUCAUAGAUGCAAGAAUAUAUCUACACAGAAAGGUAGAUUUUGUACUUUCUGCCUUCCUAAAAAUGCAAAGGCUGAUUAGCAGAUUGACGUGGUCCUUGUUCAGUGUGCUUUCAGUCUUUCAUACUUCUUGAAAAAGCAGGGUUGGUGGCAGCAGAACCCCAGGCCUUGUUCUUGGUGUCUGUACACUGAUAUUGGCAACAGUGCUGGGCAUGAGAUAUAACCAGGACUAGCAGGCAGGACCACUGUGGAUAAAAGCAUUUAAGACUGCAUCUGCAGAGCUGAAUAACCAAAGGAAGUCAUAGAUUGAUGCAAAUAGAUCUUUACUGUCAAUGACAAUUUUUCUUUAAAAGGAUUAGCAAACUUCAUGUGGCCAAAGACUUUCUAAAAUAAACUUCAAAAAGUCCAAGAUGUAAAGAAUCACCUCAGAGAGGCUCUGGUGUGGUUUCCAAAUGACCUUUGGUAAGACUGGCAUCCUCAUAAAAUAGAGCAGAUGGUACAUGGUGGAGAGCAGGGAUAGGUGUAAGAAUUUCCUCAUUCUCUCAUCUCAGAGACAAGCAGUGUGAUUUUGCACAACCACAACAGCCCAGCUCAGCCAGCCAUAGGGCGUUUCAAGUUCUCCCUCAGCAGAGCAAAAGUCCACCUGAAAAAGAAGCAGCGGGGAAGGAAUCUCCGUGGUGUGACAGCCGCUGCCCUAGCUUAAAUGCUACGAGGCUCUUUCAGUUCUGCAGAUAGUAGUUCUGUAAACAGGAAUUACCUUUGGACUCUUAAAAAAAACAUGUACUAUAUCAUUCUGGAAUGGUGCUAAUCUCUCUAUCAUGGAGGUCAAAGCAAGCUUUCUAUUAUAAGCUCUGUGGAACACACCUACUUCCCAGCCACUCACUUGCAGGGAACAAAAUCCAGCUGGUCAAAACGCCCUGUGUGUAACAGGAUGCUAGAGCAGGAGCUUGAGGCAAUGUGGGUGAGGCAUUUGGGAGCUGUGAGACUUCCAAGCUGGAGGGUGAGCCCUGGGUGAGGCAAUACUGGCUCCGUGCCCCUACAGAUGAGGCAGGGUUUUCUUUCCUUCCUUGCAAAGGACAAUGGUCUAUUCACGGACAAUACCAGCUGGAGAGGCCACUGCCUCACAUCACACCCCAAAUCCAGCACAGCUUUGCUACGGUGCUCCCCACCAGCAACUGCUCUCAUCUUCCCCUUUGCAGAGUCCCUUUCCAUACGCUGUGAUAGCACUUAUGACAGCUACAGCCCAGGUAAGAUUGGGCCUUGGGGUUACAGUGACAAUGUCCCAGCCUUGGUGUCACAGUGACUGGAGCAAUGACUGGCAUGUUCCAAAGCAUAAACACUGACACCCAGGGUGUGGUAAGGUGGGGGUUAGCUGAGGACCCUCAACUUCUGUAUUUUCCUAGGGGUCUGAAGUGCACGUUGGCUUUGCUGAUAAACUUAUCAGUAGCAGAGUGAAACAUCCGUUUCAUUUGUACUGUUUACAGAGAGCCUAUUUCUCUAGUUGGUGAGUUGGGAUUGAGUGAGCAGGGUGACUGUUUUCUUCCCUCCCCUGUGAACAUUGCUGCUAGCAGCGAGCUGCACCUCAGAGGGGGGAGAGAUGUGCUGUGGCCAGACCCACCCUUGUCCCCAGUCUGAAGGUCCUCUACCCCUGCACACCCUUCCCAGCCCCAACCCCUGGAGCUGAGGAAAGGCUGUGGCACAGUAUGUGAACUCCGAUUACAUCUCCAAGCAGGAGGAACACACAAUCGGUGGGAGACGCCUGCUUUCUAGCCCCUUUGUGCUCAGGGGCAGAAACACAAAUAAGCCUCAAUGUCUUUUUCCUGCUUAUGUGAGCAGAGAUCCGUUUUUCAAUAGCAGGCCCCAGCAGAUAAGUAUUCCUUUUGCCUGGGGAAAUUUUCCUUCUCCCAUCCGGUCCGGUCCCAUCGCUUGGGAUGUCUCAGGGAGAGCGGGACCAUAAACUUUACGAGCGAGUUUUCACUAAAUGAAUUACAUAACAGAACCACUGCUUACAGCUGGUGUUGUGUCAGAAAGAGACCACAGAGAGAAGCGGAUAGGAAGGGCAACAAGCCUCCCGACAAGCCGCGGCAGGGCCCAGGCAGCGCAGGCCGCAGCCACACCUGCCUUCACCCGCGCUGCACAUAACGCCAUGCACCACGUCAGACAGCAACCCAGAGCCCAUCCAAAACAAACCUCCCAGCACAGGAGCAAUUGCCUUUCCUCAUAAACUCACCCAACGGGCUAUUUUUAAAAUUGAUCUUUCCAAAUAGCAUUAAGUGACAAAUCCAGCUCUGUGUCCACCCAACAAGUAUGGGGAGGUCCUGCAGACAGCUCUUGGGAUGAAGACUCAGACUUGAACUUUAUUAUUUUAUUGCACUUGGAGAAUUUCCUGGGUAUUUUCUAGGUUACUUCCUUAUUACUGGGUCAAAACGUUGCCAUGUGUAAACCUCAAUUUGUCAAUAUAUACAAUGAAGGCAGUGGAACAAGUUCUUCCCUGCUUUUUCCUCCAGAGUUUGACCUGAUGAA